GAACUCAUCCCGAAGGCUGCAAAUUUGGAUUUCAGCACGUCUAGAGUUUCGAAUGGACUUGGCAGAUUUGCAGCUGCGGCUCUAUUUGCUAUUCUACUGUCUUUUCUUCCCAAUGGGACGAUCCAUGCUGGCCCUCCAGACUAUUGCAGUAAUUAACAAUCUUGUUUUAAUUAGAGAGAUAAGUUUCAAAUAUAGUAAAACGAGCUAGCUAACUUAUUUAUAAGUAUAACAGGAUGAAAUCAUCGAUACCUACCAGCACAACAGACACUUGAGAUGAGAGGGCUAAUAUGUCAGCACAAGAAACAACGCCUGGACAUGCGCUUUCAACUGCUGCUUUGAUGUUGUCCACAAUGUCUAACCCUUGGAUUCCAUUGUUUGGAGCUGCGUUCAAUUCACUGUCGAUAACACCAGGUACGUCUUCCAAUAGCACAGAUCCAUCACACCCCUACAUAAAUGACCCAACAUCCAAUAUAUCAGAAGAUGUUUAACUAAAAAAAAAAAAUGUAUUUAAGUAGUUAGAAAAAUGAAUUCAAGUAGGUUUAUGAUGAGUACGUGCAUUGGCAAAGCAGUCAUGGAAGUGGAGACGAAUGAGCUUGGCAGCAGCUCGGUCGUCGGUUUGGAGAGCUUGAGAGACUGUAUUUAGAACAAUGAAAGGUAGUUGAGGGCAAGUGAAGGUGUAGAAGAAAGGGUUAAGCUGAGCGAGAGAGGGAGCAAGCAU
rnacentral:lncRNA from 1 species